ACAAAAAUCCUAGAACCAAGGCCAUUUUUGAGGAGACUGACUCUCCUGUGGUCUGGGCAUGGGCAGACUCAAAUGUCAAGUGAGAAAAGCUGUGAUCUUCGAGAUGAAGUAAUAUGAAGCUGCCUUAUGUUUCUUGGCACUGCAGUUUUCAUCUCUGAUUUCAUUGUUCAUCCCGUGUGGGACCCUUCUGUACAGUAACUGCGAUGGAAACUGAGUCAACUAUCCCAAUUUGGCAGAACAAAUCCUAUGGCUCAUCGCGCAGUGUUGUCAGGAGGAUUGGGACAACUCUUCCUUUAAAACCCUGUCCCAGAGCAUCCUUUGAGGUCUUACCAAACAUUUCAGAUCUUUAUCUAAAUGAUGUACCUCCAGUCCCCACUCUGGCAGAUAUUUUGUGGAUAGCGGCAGAUGAAGAAGAAACAUAUGCUAGAGUCAGGAGUGACACUCGUCCACUGAAGCACAAAUGGAAGCCUAGCCCGUUCUUUGUUAUACAGCGAAAUGCUUCAGUCCCCAACUUGAGAAAGCAGGAAGAGAAGCUACUGGCCUUGAAGAAACCUGGUUUACCUGCCCUCAGUCGGACGACUGAGCUUCAAGAUGAGCUGAGUCACCUGCGGAGUCAAAUAGCUAAAAUUGUAGCUGCAGAUCCAGCUUCCACUUCAUUAACGCCAGAUUUAUUAUCUCCAGGAAGUUCAAAUGUGUCUUCUCCCUUACCUUGUUUUGGAUCCUCAUUCCAAUCUACAACUUCCUUUGUCAUUAGUGACAUCACAGAGGAGGCAGAAUUAGAAAUUCCGGAGCUUCCAUCCGUUUCCAUGCUUUGUUCUGCAACCUCUGAAUGUUGUAAAUCAGAGCCAAAGGAUGUUGACGAGGAAGAUUCUGUGUGUCUUUCGAAGGCCAGCAGUUUUGCAGACAUGAUGGGCAUACUUAAAGACAUUCAUAGGAUGAAACAGAACAAAGAUUUGAACUGAUGUUAACCCCACCCCCCCAACCUGGAAACUUCAGGAAUGAGUAUGAGACACAUUUGCAUGUUUCUACCAUUAAAAUCAGAAUAGAGCCCUUUUAAUAUCUGAUGCCUUUUGGAAAGGACUUGUCUGUAGUGCUCCAGCUGAUCCGCGCAUUGUCUGUGCUUAAAAACAUGUAGCAUGAGGACCUGCUUUGAAUGAACCGAACUUUAUUGAAGGAAGAAGACCCUGCUGUUCUUAUAUCAGAAGUGUUAAGAAGAAAAUUUGCUCUAAAGGAUGAAGAUGUAACCAUGAAAGAGAACUGAUAUUACACUUUAAUUUAACUCUGUAAGCAAGUGUAUUGUGCUCCUGAGAUUUUUCUCCACAGUAGCUGCCUUCCUAAGGAUAAAACUUUUUUGCCUCUUCACUAACUAAAUAUGAUUUCUGCACUGGAAACCUAUUCAAAAAGGAAACUGUGGAUAUGCAGUGUUUUCCAUGUCUCUGAAUAUAUCAAAACUUUCUAAGAAAAGGGAAAUUCUUUUCCACAUUUUUGAAGCAUUACUGGUAACCGCUUUUUCCACCGAGUGAUGCGAGUGUUGCUAGAUGAAGUUCUCUUAUCUGUGUUUUCCCCAAAGUGACUUUAAUGAUUUAAGUUAAUUUGAUUCACAAUGGUCUUGUUGCAAUGACUAGCCACUAAUUUAUAAUAUAAAUGAACAUAAAGCAUCUACUUGUUUCUCUGUCUAGGGAACAUUGGGUGCAAAGCUAUCCAUGAGAGUAUGUUAUUUCUUCCUUCUGGGUCCUCAGUUUUUAAAGGAAGUUCUCAUUGUAUUGAGGGUGGUUAAGAGCUUCCAUUAUUUGCUCAAAGAGGAUUCCAUUCCCUAAGGUUUCUUCCAAUUACUUUCCUGUCUCAUUUAAUCAAGAUCUAUUUUCUAAGCUGCUGUUGGCUGGUGACUUUUAGUUUGUAAUAUUUUAAAGCUUGUCCCCAAAGUCACAUUACAUGACACUUACAGUCUACUCUAAAGUAACUGUCAAGAAUUCCAGUGUUUCAUUUACACGUUCUUUCUAUUAGAUUGAUUUUAUUUUAUUAACAUAAAAUUCAGUAAGAAUUUCAUCCAGAUAAUGUCUGAAGGCAUAUCUACUGAACCAUCACAGCUAGGGGGUGAAUCCUGUAGAAAACCAUGUGGGAGGAAAGGAAAGAGUUAAAUGAGUCACAGGUUGCAGUGUCCUGCUAUGCUAAUAUAUCUCUCAGCCAUAUUCAAGGUAUAUGAAUUUCCUUAUAAAUGGAGCCACCUACUUGGUGGUCAAAUAAUAUUUGUAGAUUUCCUUUAUAGUACAGCUGUUGCUGAGAA